rnacentral:rRNA from 1 species
GAUGAACGCUGGCGGCGUGCCUAAUACAUGCAAGUCGAGCGAACAGACGAGGAGCUUGCUCCUUCGACGUUAGCGGCGGACGGGUGAGUAACACGUAGGUAACCUACCUAUAAGACUGGGAUAACUUCGGGAAACCGGAGCUAAUACCGGAUAAUAUUUCGAACCGCAUGGUUCGAUAGUGAAAGAUGGCUUUGCUAUCACUUAUAGAUGGACCUGCGCCGUAUUAGCUAGUUGGUAAGGUAACGGCUUACCAAGGCAACGAUACGUAGCCGACCUGAGAGGGUGAUCGGCCACACUGGAACUGAGCCACGGUCCAGACUCCUACGGGAGGCAGCAGUAGGGAAUCUUCCGCAAAGGGCGAAAGCCUGACGGAGCAACGCCGCGUGAGUGAUGAAGGUCUUCGGAUCGUAAAACUCUGUUAUUAGGGAAGAACAAACGUGUAAGUAACUGUGCACGUCUUGACGGUACCUAAUCAGAAAGCCACGGCUAACUACGUG